CGGAAUGUAGCGCAGCCAGGUUAGCGCGUCAGUCUGGGGGACUGGAGGUCAUGGGUUCGAAUCCCGUCAUUCCGACCA
rnacentral:tRNA from 1 species